rnacentral:misc_RNA from 1 species
ACACCUCAACCCUCAUGGCUUGCCACGAUGGGCUUGGACUUUGGGGGUCUUGUUGGCCUGUGAGCCAGCUCCCCUUAAAUGAAUCAGCUUGCCAGUGUUUGGUGGCAUCACAGGUGUGAUAACUAUCUACGCUUGUGGUUUCCCACCAGGUAACCUUCAGCGAUGGAGGUUCGCUGGAGCUCAUAAAUGUCUCUCCCCAGCGAGGACAGAUUUUGACC